GGGCGGGUCCGGCGCGGCGGAGAUCUUCGAACCGUGUCAGGUCCGAGAGGAAGCAGCACUAAGGAGUACCCUCUGGGUGCCGCCGGGAAGCCUGCCCGGA
rnacentral:SRP_RNA from 1 species